rnacentral:rRNA from 1 species
GACGAACGCUGGCGGCGUGCCUAACACAUGCAAGUCGAGCGGACGGACGAGAAGCUUGCUGCUCUGAUGUUAGCGGAGGACGGGUGAGUAACACGUGGAUAACCUACCUAUAAGACUGGGAUAACUUCGGGAAACCGGAGCUAAUACCGGAUAAUAUUUUGAACCGCAUGGUUCAAUAGUGAAAGACGGUCUUGCUGUCACUUAUAGCUGGAUCCGCGCUGCAUUAGCUAGUUGGUAAGGUAACGGCUUACCAAGGCAACGAGGCAUAGCCGACCUGAGAGGGUGGUCGGCCACCUUGGAACGGAGACAGGGUCCAUACUCCUACGGGAGGCCGCAGUAUGCAACCUGACGCAACGGUCGGAAGCCUGACGGAGCAGCCCCACGUGAGAGAUGAAGGUCUUCGGUUCGUAAAACUGUGUUUUUGGGGAAGAACAGAUUUGUAAGUAACUGUGCACAGCUUGACGGUACCGGAUCAGAAAGCCACGGCUAACUACGUG